GGAGGUAGUGACAAUAAAUCACAAUGCGGAACUAUUUAGUUUUGCAAUUGGAUUGAGAACAAUGUACAAAUGUUAUCGAUAAACAAUUGGAGGGCAAGUCUGGUGCCAGCAGCCGCGGUAAUUCCAGCUCCAAUAGCGUAUAUUAACGUUGUUGCAGUUAAAAAGCUCGUAGUUGAAAUGUGGGAUGAAGUAUAUGAUGAAUUUAAUAUUCAAUUAUAUAUUGAUUCCCCUCUCCAAUUUAUUAUUAUGGGUAUUAAUUUAUUUGUAAUAAGAAUUGGUCAUUUACUGUGAGAAAAUUAGAGUGUUCAAAGCAGGCAUUUGCUUGAAUAGAUUAGCAUGGAAUAAUACUAAAAGGCUUUUAUGGUCGAUUUAAUUGGUUUGUUCAUAAAAGCAAGAUUAAAAGGAACAGUUGGGGGUAUUCAUAUUCAAUAGUUAGAGGUGAAAUUCUCGGAUUUAUGGAAGAUGAACAAGUGCGAAAGCA
rnacentral:rRNA from 2 species